AUUGAACGCUGGCGGCAUGCCUUACACAUGCAAGUCGAACGGCAGCACGGGUGCUUGCACCUGGUGGGGAGUGGCGAACGGGUGAGUAAUACAUCGGAACGUACCUUAUCGUGGGGGAUAACGCAGCGAAAGCUGUGCUAAUACCGCAUACGCCCUGAGGGGGAAAGCGGGGGAUCGAAAGACCUCGCGCGAUUAGAGCGGCCGAUGCCUGAUUAGCUUGUUGGUGGGGUAAAAGCCCACCAAGGCGACGAUCAGUAGCUGGUCUGAGAGGACGAUCAGCCACACUGGGACUGAGACACGGCCCAGACUCCUACGGGAGGCAGCAGUGGGGAAUUUUGGACAAUGGGGGCAACCCUGAUCCAGCAAUGCCGCGUGAGUGAAGAAGGCCUUCGGGUUGUAAAGCUCUUUCGUCAGGGAAGAAACACCGGCUCUAACACAGUCCGGGAAUGACGGUACCUGAAGAAUAAGCACCGGCUAACUACGUGCCAGCAGCCGCCGUAA
rnacentral:rRNA from 1 species